rnacentral:rRNA from 1 species
UAAAUAGUGACGGGAACUUUGGUUCCUAGCGCACUUCUUAGAGGGACUAUGGAUGCAAAUCCAUGGAAGUUUGAGGCAAUAACAGGUCUGUGAUGCCCUUAGAUAUCCUGGGCCGCACGCGCGCUACACUGACGGAGACAACAAGUAUUCACCUUGGCCGUAAGGUCUG